rnacentral:rRNA from 1 species
UACGUAGGGUGCAAGCGUUGUCCGGAAUUAUUGGGCGUAAAGAGCUCGUAGGCGGUUUGUUGCGUCGGCUGUGAAAACCUGAGGCUCAACCUCAGGCCUGCAGUCGAUACGAGCAGACUAGAGUGUUGCAGGGGAGACUGGAAUUCCUGGUGUAGCGGUGAAAUGCGUAGAUAUCGGGAGGAACACCUGAGGCGAAGGCGGGUUACUGGGCUGAUACUGACGCUGAUGCGCGAAAGCCAGGGGAGCAAACGGG